AUGAAAACUCCUUGGGGCAGUACGUGAUAGAUGGGAAGGGCAUUGCCAGUGGAGGUCACGGUAUGAAUAAACAGGUGGAUUACAGUGGAAACACGAUGUUGGCCAACCAGAAAGGGAGAAAUUCAAAAUGGUAAACGGAGCACUCUCACUUGCAGGGCUCUCUGAAGCCUUGACAAACAACACAGAGCCAAAAUAAAUUUUUUAAAAGUAUAUCCCAGCAAAGGCAUAUUGACCUUGUCCUUUCAAGAAUU
rnacentral:lncRNA from 10 species